GGACCUGGGCUAGCUCAGUCGUUAGAGCAUGAGAUUCUUAAUCUCAGGGCCAUGGGUUCGAGCCCCACAUUGGCCA